AGUGGCGGACGGGUGAGUAACGCGUGGGAAUCUGCCUCGUAGUGGGGGACAACCCGGGGAAACCCGGGCUAAUACCGCAUACGUCCUACGGGAGAAAGGGGGCCUCUGCUUGCAUGCUCUCGCUAUGAGAUGAGCCCGCGUCCGAUUAGCUGGUUGGUAGGGUAAAGGCCUACCAAGGCGACGAUCGGUAGCUGGUCUGAGAGGAUGGCCAGCCACACUGGGACUGAGACACGGCCCAG
rnacentral:rRNA from 1 species